GUGCUACUGAAGUGAAAUUUUGGGUAUCGAUUUUUUUCUAUAAUCAAAUAGUUCUAUCUUUCCUGAUCACUUUGGUAUAAUUUUUAUGCAUAUUGAAGCACGGGAUCAUCAAUAAAUUUUUGCUCAAAGUUGGGUUACGCGUGCGAAUUUUUACCACUGAAAUAUUAUACGGAUGUGACGUAAUAAAAAGGACGGAAGUCGAAGUAGGAGCAUUGAUUUACUAGUAUUUUGUUAGAUUUUCAACACAUAUACACAAUAAAAUAUGAGUUCUUCAAGCAGUGAAAGCGAACGCAGUUCGGAUACUGAAAACUCAGAUAUGGCAAAUGAAAAUUUACUUUCAAAUUCCGGCGAUGAGGAUACAAUUGUGGCUAAUUCAGUGGUAAAUCCUUACGAAAAUGAACCUCUUGCGAACGCAGUCGGAGAGAAUUUUGUGUCGGUCGAAGAAGACGCAGAUGGCUUAGAACCUCGAACAUUGGAAGCGAGGUUCGAAGGAACCUUUCAGUUAGAUAAGUGGUAAGUUGAUAAAUGUUACUAGAACUCUAGAAGAAAUUAAACCAUGAAUUAAACAUGUUAUUUUGUCCUUAUGUCGUGGUGCAUAAAUAUGAUAACAAACCACUUUUUUAUAGGUGUGCAUGUAGCUUGGGUCGUACUCAACUGCUGACAGAUGCCAUUGAAUACCGUUGUUGUCAAUAGGUUGGGCCUACUUUACAUAAACUGGUAUUCGAUGUUAGCAUUGAAAAAUUAGCUGUGUUACUCUUCACGAAGAGUACACGAUUAUGACACAUGCUACAGUCUUGAAGAAUGUUGGAAGAAUGUUGGCUCACUUCUAAGAGACCAAGAUGGAAGGUCAUACAAGCGUAUGACCAAGAAUACAUGAAAAUGAAAUGCACUGGCCAUACCUAUUAUACAUGGUAGCAUGAACAACUUACAUGUGGGAAACAAUGGUGUUGAAGAUAGUUGUUUCCUAUCCAAAUGCCGUUGGAUUGCCUCAGUUUUGGAAAUUCGAUCCGAGAAAGUUUUGUUUAAGGCUUCUGGGACUUUUUCCUUAUACUUCUUAAAUAUGUUGUCCAUGGAUUCCUCACAACUAAGAACCAUGACAUUUUUGAUUUCAUUAACAUAGUCUGGAAAAAUGACAAGUGGUUAGAUGUGUAAGUCAAGAGUACCAAUG